rnacentral:rRNA from 1 species
GACAGAGGGUGCAAACGUUUGUUCGGAAUUACUGGGCGUAAAGCGUGUGUAGGCGGCCAUGUAAGUCGGAUGUGAAAGCCCCCGGGCUUAACCCGGGAAGUGCAUUCGAUACUGCGUGGCUUGAGUAUCGGAGAGGUUGGUGGAAUUCUCGGUGUAGAGGUGAAAUUCGUAGAUAUUCGAGAGGAACACCGGUGGCGAAGGCGGCCAACUGGACGAAUACUG